GAUCCUGGCUCAGAAUCAACGCUGGCGGCGUGCCUCAGACAUGCAAGUCGAACGAGAACCUCCCUUCGGGGAGGGGACAGUGGCGCACGGGUGAGUAACACGUGGGUAAUUUACCUUUGGGUGGGGAACAACAGCCGGAAACGGCUGCUAAUACCGCAUAAUGCAGCGGCUCGACAUCGAGACAGUUGUUAAAGCGGGGGAUCGCAAGACCUCGCGCCUAAAGAGAAGCCCGCGGCAGAUUAGCUAGUUGGUAGGGUAAUGGCCUACCAAGGCGACGAUCUGUAACCGGCCUGAGAGGGCGGUCGGUCACACUGACACUGACAUACGGGUCAGACUCCUACGGGAGGCAGCAGUCGGGAAUUUUGGGCAAUGGGCGAAAGCCUGACCCAGCAACGCCGCGUGAAGGAUGAAGCUUUUCGGAGUGUAAACUUCACAAGAAUGGGAAGAAUAAGAAUAGGAUAAUACCCUGUUCGAUGACGGUACCAUUUGUAAGCUCCGGCUAACUCCGUGCCAGCAGCCGCGGUAAUACGGGGGGAGCAAGCGUUGUUCGGAUUUACUGGGCGUAAAGGGCGCGUAGGCGGCGCGACAAGUCACUUGUGAAAUCUCUGGGCUCAACCCAGAACGGUCAAGUGAUACUGUCGUGCUAGAGUGCGGAAGGGGCAACUGGAAUUCUUGGUGUAGCGGUGAAGA
rnacentral:rRNA from 1 species